AAAUGGAGACAGUCUCAGUGGCUAUUAUCAUGGAACACCAGAGAGUAUGUUAGUAGGAAAGAAGGAAAGAGGAAGGAGGAAAAUGAGCUUGGGCAAAACAUCCUUUUGAAUUCCAGUUUUCAACCAUAAGUCAACAGGGCUUCGCCAUUGACCUUAGCAAGCAUCAAAUCAGGCUGAAGGGUGAUUGAAGGAUAAGGGGUGGGGGAAGGGUAAGCCAGCUUCCUUCCUAGAACCAUGUUGAUUCCUGUGAGUGGGGUUUUUUGACCAUCAUUAUACUAUCUGAGUCGGGCACAGGGAAAGCAGAUUCUGGCCUGCCAACGUUUCCUUUCCUGACACCAACACCCCGCACGGGGCACCCCUCGGUGCGGGGCGGGCCGGAGCUGAGAUCCUCGGACUGGGAACCUCCUUCCCUAAGGCAACGGCAGCAGCCCGAGGGAAAAGCGCUGUGCCCGGACGGCGCUCCGGACACCUCCGAGCUUAUUGCUGCAAAUCAAAAUACGUGUGGAAAAACAGAAGAAUAAAUCAAACCGAUCGGCAUCUAAUCUGGGGACAAUCUGUAGGAUACGCCCCUCUUCAUUCCGCAGUUCCUUGACAGACUUGUCACAGCCUCAGUGAUCCUGCUCAAAGAACUUUGGUUCACCUGCAGGAAAACAGAGGGCUGAACCUGACACCAUGUGCUCCUAACAGGAAUCCCUGUAAAAACUCUGCCUCUUUUUUUGUUUAGCAUCUGGGAGAAGCGAUGGGGAAAGGAGAGAGGCUGGAUUUUUGGAAUUCUUUCUUUGUGAAUCAGCAGAUAGUGCUCUGGAGCUGGGAAUGUUUCCUCUUGGAUUGACUCCAUCUCCUUUUUUGGUCUGCAAGCCCUUGAGGUUAAUGGUUGGGGUUGGAGAAGUUGGAGCACAUGGUAGUGCUUUGAAUAUGAAAAGAGGAAUUUGCACAAUAUGAGCGCAUUAGUCAUUUGCAGUUCACUAAUUAUCUGUUUUAUGUUAAUGCUAAUGCUCCAUGUAAGUAAAGUAAAUUAACACGAUAACAUAAAAGAAGCAAUUAAUGGAAUAUAUAAUAUUUGUAGCUAUAAUAAAACUGAUUUCAUUCCAUACACAGAGAAGUGUCUAUUUAGGUCUUGGAAAUAAAUGAGGGGCUUGCUGAGACCUUGCUGCUCUAAGUAACACCAAGGACAGACUCACAUGACAUAAUAUUGUUGCCAUAGUAACAGGGAUGUGCACCAGCGGUAUCAUACCCAUAUAUCAUUAAUUUAGUGCUCUGCUAAACACAAAAUAAUACCUUUCCUAAUUAUAUUGUGC